rnacentral:tRNA from 1 species
GCGGUCGUGGCGGAAUUGGUAGACGCGCUAGCUUGAGGUGCUAGUUUCCGAAAGGACGUGGAGGUUCGAGUCCUCUCGACCGCACCA